GUUAUAUGCAUGUACAAUUCCGUGGGCUUCCCACCCAUGGAAAUGGAAGAGUGCGAGGCGAAGAAUGAAUUAUCGGGGCGUUUCGAUAGGGUCGUGCUGCUGAGCGCUGAUUCACUUGCCAAAAUGACAAAACCCUGUUCCCGUGCUGUAAGAUACAGAUUUACCUUCUUUUCGCCCCCCCGCCCACUUGCCAUUUGAAACAGAAGCCGCCUCAGAACUUGCCCACAAGCCCCCCGCUUUUCCUUCGUGGCGUGGCCCUGUUCUGCAUUUAGCUGCGGUCAGCCCCGGGCUUCUUGGGCGCCGGCGUCCGGCAGCCGCAGCCCUGGGCUGCCUCCGGCUGACCUAUAUCGCUCACCCGUCCCUGAGAUCGGGCUCUCCGUCUCCUUUGACUACCGACCUUCAUGCCGUCUUCCACGGGAUUCCCUCCCUCUACAACCCUAUCGUAGCUGCCGCCCUCUCCCACAGCUGGCUUGCUGCUCCUGACCUCCACUUCUGGCCCAAUUCCAAAUCUCUUCUGGCAUGCUUCAGAAUUCUCUGCCUACAUUAUUAUUACAUUGGGUUUAAAUCGUGUGCUUUUUUUUAUUCCUAGUUAAUCAUUCAUACUGUCUCAUCUCAGAAUGCUGUGGAACUAGAGCUGAUCCUGUGCUUAUGACGAGUGGUUCUUCCGUUAAGCUGAAUUUGCUUACUGUCCCAAAGUAAUCAAGUCAGGAAUCAGAAGAUUUGGCUUCUCUAAGAAUUGUGUCUGCUUCAAGUCCUACAGGAGAGCUGAAGAAGACAACAAGCAAAUGAUGCAAUCUACUAAGCUCUGACCAGGGAAGACGAUGCACCUCCACAAAUGUAUUUAGUCUUCAUAGGAGAGUGGUUCCUCUGAAGCCUCUGGUGUUGCCUGCUGCUGGAGACAGGGCUCAGUGGAGUAAUUACUUUAGUCAUGAAGACAGAUACUCCAAUGACAUCAGUGGAAAUCCUUUUCAUGGUGCUGAAUUACAGCUUAAGAGCAGCAAUCUCAUGACACACUCCUCCUGAUUCCGCACCUGCGUUGUGACAACUGUAUUGCUUGGUUACAUGAAAACAAUAUCACUGCCUAAGGGGAAGACAAAAUGACAAUAAAUUUAUUUUUAUGAGA